CCCUUUGAUGUUCUGGGCUGCACGCGCGCUACACUGAUGCACUCAACGAGUUUACGACCUUGCCCGAUAGGGUUGGGUAAUCUUUUUAAAAUGCAUCGUGAUGGGGAUAGAUUAUUGCAAUUAUUAAUCUUCAACGAGGAAUUCCUAGUAAGCGCGAGUCAUCAGCUCGUGCUGAUUACGUCCCUGCCCUUUGUACACACCGCCCGUCGCUCCUACCGAUUGAGUGCUCAGGUGAAUAAUUCGGACUGCAGCAAUGUUUGGAUCCCGAACGUUGCAGCGGAAAGUUUAGUGAACCUUAUCACUUAGAGGAAGGAGAAGUCGUAACA
rnacentral:rRNA from 1 species